CCACUAGUUACACCUCAUGUACUCAAUAGUCAAGUGUGGCUGUGGCUGCCAUGCUGGGAAGCCUGGCACCAAGUGUGGUGUGAGGGAAGCUGGCCUUUCUUGCCACUACUGCUGCUGCCGCCUGCUGAUGGAUGUACAGAUGGGUGACAUCUCUCAGAGCAGGUGGGAUGGUGCAAUGAAGCCCCCAGCCUGGGUGUCCUAACUGUUAUCACAUGUUCAAAUCUGAAGAUUAGACUGUCAAAGAUUGUAUCUAGGAUGCAGAAAAAAGAAAACAUAAAUGGCCUGCCCUUUUUCACACUCCUUUCCAAUGACAGUGAUGCUCAGGGUCACUGAGUAGUCACACUGAAAGACUUUUCAGGGCCUUUUGAGUCAUCAGGGAAAGAAUUGAUUGUCUGGUAUAUUUUGAUUCUUUGCAAACUAGUACUGAAGCAUAUGACGUAUGUUGGGACCUCCUAGUAAGCGGGGCAUCUGAUUUAAGGGAAACAUUGAUUUUAGAAAAGUGCGAAGAGCACAGGAAGUCUAACUUGAACUCCAAAAUCUCUGCUUAGGAAGGAAGAAUAACACUGGCUAGAACUCAGGGCUUUCUUCUUGCCAAACAUGAAUGAUGCACCAGCACCACCACGGUCGCCCUUUAAACCACAAACCUCCAGGUAUGGCACUAUCACCUCCAUUUGACAGAUGAAGACAUUAAGUCUUACAAAGUUUUGGGGGAUGAUGGAAGUUCCCGUUGUGGCUAAAUGUAAGGAGCCCGACUAAUAUCCAUGAGGACGUGGGUUUGAUCCCUGGCCUCACUCAGGAGGUUAAGGAUUUGGUGUUACCGUGAGCUGUGGUGUAGGUCGAAGAUGCAUCUCAGAUUCUGUGUUGCUGUGGCUGUGGCGCAGGCAGGCAGCUACAUCUCUAAUUUGACCCCUAGCCUGGAAAUAUCCAUGUGCCACAAGUGCAGCCCUGAAAAAACAAAAAGCAAAAAGCCCACAAAGUUUGGGGGGAUGAGAAGCCAGUCUGUCUGAUGAUGUAGUUAACCCGUGUUCCCAUCUUGGCUUGGUUCUAUAUCAACUGAUCUCCUUUCCCACCAUUUUACAAUCAAGGUUAAAAUAUCAAUUUUACCAUUUUUUAAAAUAGAUCAAAACAUACAGUCUCCAUAAAGCGUGAGAUGCACAGAAUAAUUAUCCACAAAUUUUAGCUGCCUUUGCUCCUUCUAUGCCCCUAUGAAGAGAUAACAGAGCAGAUCUUGUCUCUACAAUAAAAAAAAAAUUCCUCCUGGCUUAAAGACUCCACUGAUGGAUGCAGAGUAUUCUUCCCACUGCUCCCUCCUUCCUCCUAAUCUCAUGCCAUUCAUUCUUGGUCCAAUCUUUUUGUCUCAGCUACAGAAGGCCUCUCGGAUUCCAUGUUUCUGCUGGCAGAUAUGCAGGGGGAGACCAGCUAUUUGCAAGCACAGACCACCACCUAAAUGAGAAGUAUUUACAUGCUGUGGGUUGAAAAACCCACAACUCCUGACUGCAAUGCAGGAAGGGCUGUCUGCAAGGCCGCUGGUUACAGCUAGACAUAAAACCUAUUAUCAGCUCAUUGGCUGUUUGGACAUAAAACUGCUUGGUCUCGCAAAGAUAUUUCCCCACUGAGGGGAUAAGUUUAAUAAGAACCACAGAUGACAGUAAAAAGCACAUUUAUUUCCUAUAACCUACAGAAAGUCUUUAUUGCAUAUAGGAUAAAUAACAGGCUUCUGUGAAUUACUGGUCUGCAAUUCCACUGAGGAGGUUUGGGGCAUGGAACACAGUGGGGAGAAACCGCUCUUUUAAAAGCCAGGCCCCAGAGCUGAGAAGGCAGAGGAAGGAGAUGAGUUUUUUCCUGAGAAAGAGAUGACAACCCACUGGCAAGCAAUGGUCCAGCACAGCUGUGGUCUCAAGGGCAAGGGCAGUCUUUCUACUCAGCGGCAUGUAGCCUGGGGCAAAAUCACUAAGCAGUAAAAAUAUUCUCUUGCCUAAGAAGUAUCUGCAAAACAUCAACAUAACCCAUCUUUUUCCUGGUUCCCCACAAUCCAAUUGGGAAAUAAAACAGGGAUUACUGUCCCCAUUUUACAGAUGGGGGGACAACGUUAAUGUGAGGUGUCCAAGGCUGCAGAUUGUCCUGCUGUGUCCUGCAGAACAUGGUCCUCUAAAGAGCAGGGGCUCAGCAUGGCUGGCUCCUGUUACCCCUUUGACCUCACUGCACUCAGUUCCCACCAGGCUGCAUCCUUGCUGCUUCUCAAAUGCUCCCGUGGGCUCUGGCCUCUGUGCCUCCACCCUUGUUCUUCCCUCUGCCUGGAACCAGCCCUCGGGCAUCAGAAUGUCUUCCUCCCUCAACCCCAUUCAGAUCUUUGCUUCAAUAUCACCAGCUCAAUGGUGCUUCACACCACCACAUUUCAACUUGAACCCCAUCCCAAGUAUUCCCUCUCUCCCUUUUCUGCUUUAUUUUAUUCAUAGUACUGAUCAUUCGGCAAGCAAUCCAUUAUCACUAUUUGUUUUCUCAUUGGCUAUUUUCCCCAUCAGAAUGUAAGCUCCAUGAGGGCAGAUGGUUUUAUUGGCUUUUCUCCCUGCUCCCAGCUAGACUCAUAAGGCACACACACUAGAUGCUCACAAAUGCAUGUUGAAUGGGUCAAUGGACCAGCAAAUGAACUUAGUGCUGGACAGAGUCACUGGCCACAGGCCCUCAAAGAGAGGCCCCAUCGCAACAAUUGCUAUUCAGUGAUGUUCCCUGUAAUAACAGUCAUAGUGAAUGCUUGCUGAAGAUUUAUUGCCAGUGCCAUGCACUGUGUUAAACACUUAAGCUGUGUUGGUCUGUAGGAUCAUCUCCAUAACCCCAUGAGGAGGUAAAUGCCCUGAGUCCCACAGCUGGUUGGAGAUGGAGCGAGUCAGUGAUGUGACUGCAAGCCUAUCUCAACACACAUCCCAUGCUCAUUUUCCCUUUUGUUUUCAUUGAAGUAUCUUGAUUUACAAUGUUGUAUUAGUUUUAGGUGUAAAGCUAAGUGAAAUAUUUAUAUAUAUAUAUGUGUGUGUGUGUGUAUAUGUAUACACAUAUUUCGGUGUAAAGCAAAGUGAUAUAUUUAUAUAUGUGUGUGUAUAUACACAUACACAUAUGCAUACUCUUUUUCAGAUUACUUUCGCUUAUAGGCUAUGAAAAAUUAUUGAAUAGAGUUCUCUGUGCUAUACAGUAGGUCCUUGUUGGCUAUAUGAUCCAGCAAUUCCACUCCUGGGCAUAUAUCUGUACAAAACUCCAAUUCAAAAAGAUAUAUGCACCCCUCUGUUCAUAUAAGCACUAUUUACAAUAGCUAAGGCAAGGAAACAACCUAAAUAUCCGUCAGUAUAUGAAUGCAUAAAGAAGUUGUAGUAUACACACACACACAAUGGAAUACUACUCUGCCAUAAAAAGAGCAAAGUAGUACCAUUUGCAGCAACAUGGAUGGACCUAGACAUUAUCAUAUUAAGAGAAGGAAGUCAGAAAGAGAAAGAUAAAUAUCAUAUGAUAUUAUUAUAUGUGGAAUCUAAAAUACAGCACAAAAUAACCUAUCUAUGCAAAAGAAAUGACACAUGGACAUAGAGAACAGACUUGUAGUUGCCAAGCAGGAGAAGGGAUGAGGGAAGGAUGAUUAGGAGUUUGGGAUUAGCUGAUGCAAACUACUAUAUAUAGAAAUGGAUAAAACUAUAAUGGAAAAGAAUAUGAAAAGUGAUGUAUGUACACGUAUGUAUGUGUAUAUAUAUGUAACUGAGUAACUUUGCUGUACAGCAGAAAUCAAUACAACAUUGUAAAUCAACUAUACUGCAAUAAAAUAAUUAAAAAAAAACAAUUUCUACGCAGAUUCUCAGAAUACAACUCCUUGCAAAUGUAACUUGCUGAGUUAAAAUGGGGUCAGACUGGAUUAGGGUGGGCCCUAAGCCAAUGACCAGUGUCCUUAUAAGAAGAGAAAACAGAGACACACGCAGAAGGCAGCCAGUCAGGUGAAGACAGGGGCAGAACCUGGAGGGAUGCAGCCACGAUCUAAAGAAGGCCCAGGAUUUCUGGCCACCAUCAGAAGUGGAAGAGGCAAGGAAGGAUUCUUCCCCAAAAUCUUCAGAGAAAGCAUGGCCCUGCUAACACCUUGAUUUCAGACUUGGAAUUUUUAGAAGUGUUUCUCUUGUUUUAAGCCACUUGGUUUGUGGCAUUCUGUCACCACAGCCCUAGGAAAUUGGAUUACCCACCAACUACUUGCAGUCACUAGCCUGAACUUUAAGUUCAGUGGACACAUGCUUUCUAGCUCCAGGUCUUUGUAGGUAUUGAUAUCCCCUCUUCUUAGGAGCAUCCUCUCCUCUGAUCUCCACUUGGCCACCUGUGUGUUCAUUUCCUCCAUCAUGCAUCUAUGAGGUCGUCCCUGACCCUCCAGGUCCAGCUUGGGGAAACCCCUCCCCAGAGUUACAUGAUGCCCCGAAUCUUUGCUGUCACCUAUCACAUCACAGGACAGUUACGUAGCUGGCUGUCCAUCCUCUGCAAGAUUUGUCAAGAUGAUAGGAUCCAGUCUCUUACUCUACAUUGUAUUCAUGGUACACAGCAUGUUUUCAUGCUGACUAAUGCUCACUGAGGGCUUCCUAAUGCUCUACAAUGUGCUAAGCGCUUUAUUUGUGCUAAUUCAUUCACUCCUCCUUGCUACCUUAUGACGUAGGUACCACUGUUUUCCCUAUUUUACAGUUGGCCACGAUGGAACGCAUGGGCUGAGAGAACCAGGGGCCCAUCUGCAUUAUUCCUGGCAUUCUUCCAGUUGUACUUUGCAAUUCCACCAGCAAACCCCACCAUAUGAUUUCAGUAUCCAAGUGCAAAUCCAUCUUUGCCUUAAACUCAUUUAUGCCGCCCGCUUCCACUAUAUCACCCAUGCUUGACUGCUGCAUGGUGCAAUAACUCUCUGCCGGCCUCCAAACGGUUUUCCCAGUAAUCAAGGAGGCGCAAUUGAUUCAAAGUGUUAAUAUUUGCUCAGCUCUGAGACCAUCCGGAGGCCUCAUCAUUCAUAGCAAUGCCACCCGCUGGAGCUCCAGCAGAGCGGGACUCUCACGGGUUGCUGCCUGAACCAGGGAUGGGAGACGCCCAGUCUCAUCAUGUAAAGAUGUGCUCCCUCUCCCCUAACCUGGGCUUUCCAGCAUACAGAUGAGAAGUGCAUUAAAGUAACAUAAGUGGAACCUGGAUACCUGUGCAAGCUACUGAAUCCUGGAGUUCCUGAUUCCUCAUUCAUUUAUUCUACUGUCAUAUAUUAAAUAUGUACCCUGCACCAGGCAUUCCGCUAGAUGCUAGGAACUUAACACAACACAAAAGGAAGGAGUCAUCUUAUCAUCUUCUUCUCCGCUAGGACCACACCUGCCACUGGAUGACCAUCUGCUCGACUUCAGUUCCUUUAAGACAACUGGACAGACUCAGAGAGGCAUGUGAAGAACUUACAAGGGCCAUUUGUUGUCAAAAUUUCCACCCCACCUACUUGCUCCAAACACAACCCUGUCUCAUCCUGCCUCCUUCACUCCAUCCUGUCUCUUUGCAUAAAUUGCUCUUUCAGGAUCCUCUUCUUUCUUCCCUGGGCUGUUCAUUGCCAUCAUACCUCCUCCAGAAGUAUCACAGUAGAGUGGGUGUGAGCAUAAAUGCUGGAGGCAAGUGGCCUGGGUUGAAUCCAGCUCUGCUACAUUCUAUCUGUAUCAUUAUAGGGAAGCCCCGGAAAACCCAGAUGCCUAUUUUUUUAUCCAUAAAAUGAUGAUGAGAAUGACAGCAACUACCACUCUGGAGGGUUAUUGAGACAACUGAAUGACUUACCAGGGAAAGUGCUUAAAAUAGUGCCUGAUGCAGAGUAGUCACUCAAUAGACAUGAUCUUAUUCUAUUAUCAAUAUUUUUAUCGGGAGUUCCCGUUGUGGCGCAGUGGUUAACGAAUCCGACUAGGAACCAUGAGGUUGCGGGUUCGGUCCCUGCCCUUGCUCAGUGGGUUAAUGAUCCGGCGUUGCCCUGAGCUGUGGUGUAGGUUGCAGACACGGUUCAGAUCCUGCGUUGCUGCGGCUCUGGCAUAGGCGUAGGCCGGUGGCUACAGCUCCGAUUAGACCCCUAGCCUGGGAACCUCCAUAUGCCGCAGAGCGGCCCAAAGUUAU
rnacentral:lncRNA from 1 species